UCUAUUGUAGUCUAGUUGGUUAGGAUACUCGGCUCUCACCGAGAAACCCAGUUCAAUUCCUGGCAACGGAA
rnacentral:tRNA from 1 species